rnacentral:piRNA from 1 species
AACUGCUGAACCUAGCUCGUGAUUCGC